GUGGAGCUAGAGCUUGCAGAAUCAACAGAUAGCUUUGGGCGACUACAGCCCUGAAAAGGCUGGCGUCGGCGGUUCAACUCCGUCCCUGGCCACCA
rnacentral:tRNA from 1 species